AUUGAACGCUGGCGGCAGGCUUAACACAUGCAAGUCGAGCGGGGUGAUGGUGCUUGCACUAUCACUUAGCGGCGGACGGGUGAGUAAUGCUUAGGAAUCUGCCUAUUAGUGGGGGACAACAUCUCGAAAGGGAUGCUAAUACCGCAUACGUCCUACGGGAGAAAGCAGGGGAUCACUUGUGACCUUGCGCUAAUAGAUGAGCCUAAGUCGGAUUAGCUAGGUGGUGGGGUAAAGGCCUACCAAGGCGACGAUCUGUAGCGGGUCUGAGAGGAUGAUCCGCCACGCUGGGACUGAGACACGGCCCAGACUCCUACGGGAGGCAGCAGUGGGGAAUAUUGGACAAUGGGGGGAACCCUGAUCCAGCCAUGCCGCGUGUGUGAAGAAGGCCUUUUGGUUGUAAAGCACUUUAAGCGAGGAGGAGGCCCUUUUGGUUAAUACCCAAGAUGAGUGGACGUUACUCGCAGAAUAAGCACCGGCUAACUCUGUGCCAGCAGCCGCGGUAA
rnacentral:rRNA from 1 species